AUCCGAAGAAGCUCGCAGUUCUAACUGCUGGGCCAGGCUCACUCUUUCUCCCUUGUUGAGUUUGGCGUUCAUCCUUCCGUGACAGUUUAUAGUUCUGAAUUUUUAAAUUUGAGUUCUUCUCCAAAUGCUUAACUGACGUGAACGCUUGACUCAUCCCGAAUAUUCGUCAUUCCUUUUGGUUUUUAAUUCCAUUCUAUGGGAACUCUCACAAGUUGUAGUUUUAUACCUUUGAAUUCCGAAUUCCGUUCCAACCCUGUUCGGCGCGCUUUCAGGGAGAGAAUUCAAUACCAUCAGCUGAGCAGAUUGAGGAGCUCGUGUUAUUUCUGCGGAGAAAGAUCAAAAUUAGGGAGGUAUAUCGAUUUUGGUAGGUUUACGUGCUUUAGCAGUAAUAACGACACUAGUAAUGAAGGGGAAAGCGGUAGUAAUGCGUCGAAAGAUUCUAAUUUGACGACCACACUGGCCGAAGGAGCUGAGGAGAGAAAUGAAAAUGGCUUCAAUCCUGAGAAGUCAAGGCCCCCCUCGGCUUCUUCAAAGUCAUCCUUAUCCUCAGUUGGACCGACAUACAACAAUUUUCAAGUUGAUUCUUUCAAACUCAUGGAACUCCUUGGACCUGAGAAAGUUGAUCCUGCCGAUGUAAAGCUGAUUAAGGAUAAGCUUUUUGGUUAUACAACCUUUUGGGUGACCAAAGAGGAGCCUUUUGGUGACCUUGGAGAGGGUAUCCUUUUCCUUGGAAAUUUAAGGGGAAAGAGGGAGGAUGUAUUUGCCAAGCUUCAAAGUCAGCUAGUUGAGGUCACAGGUGAUAAGUACAACCUUUUUAUGGUGGAAGAACCUGAUUCAGACAGCCCUGAUCCACGGGGUGGGCCACGUGUUAGCUUUGGUUUGCUGCGGAAGGAAGUUUCAGAGCCAGGGCCAACGACACUUUGGCAAUAUGUGAUUGCUUUGUUGUUGUUUCUUCUUACCAUUGGUUCCUCAGUGGAGCUUGGAAUUGCUUCUCAGAUAAAUAGAUUGCCUCCAGAAGUUGUAAAAUACUUCACGGAUCCCAAUGCUAUUGAACCCCCUGAUAUGGAGCUACUAUUCCCCUUCGUUGAGUCAGCUUUGCCUGUAGCAUAUGGUGUCUUGGGGGUUCUGUUAUUUCACGAAGUUGGACACUUCCUGGCAGCUUUCCCAAGGAAAGUAAAACUAAGCAUUCCUUUCUUCAUUCCAAACAUCACUCUUGGAAGUUUUGGCGCCAUUACUCAGUUUAAAUCCAUUCUUCCUGAUAGAAGCACGAAGGUGGACAUAUCACUUGCUGGCCCAUUUGCUGGUGCUGUGCUAUCUUUUUCAAUGUUUGCUGUUGGCCUGCUACUUUCAUCAAAUCCAGCUGCAGCAGGAGAUCUGGUGCAAGUCCCUAGCAUGUUAUUUCAAGGAUCUUUGUUUCUUGGACUCAUCAGUAGAGCCACGCUCGGUUAUACAGCAAUGCAUGCCGCAACUGUUUCAAUCCAUCCUCUUGUAAUUGCUGGCUGGUGUGGCUUAACAAUACAAGCUUUUAACAUGCUUCCUGUGGGGUGCCUUGAUGGUGGAAGAGCAGUGCAGGGUGCAUUUGGAAAAGGUGCGUUAAUUGGCUUUGGCUUGACAACCUACACAUUGCUUGGAUUAGGAGUGUGACAAUAUGAUCAUCCUUGCGUCUUCAGCUUGGUGGGCCUCUUUCGCUUCCCUGGGGACUCUACGUUUUACUGUGUCAGAGGACACCUGAGAAACCAUGCUUGAAUGAUGUGACGGAGGUUGGAACAUGGAGAAAGACACUGGUGGUGGUUGCUACUUUUCUUGUUGUCUUGACCUUGCUUCCUGUUUGGGAUGAGCUUGCAGAGGAACUGGGUAUGGGUCUUGUAACCGCAUUUUGAUAGAUGAUGCGUUGAGUAAAUCCCUUUAAAAAAGAGUUUUUCCGUUUAUUAGAUAGCUAAAGCUAUAGCUAUAGCAAACCAUUCUUGCGUUUUUUUCAAGUGAUGGAUCCAGUGUAAUGAAUUGGGCCAAAAAUGUAAAAUAGUUCAAUUUUAUACCCUUUCCUUGAAAAUAGAAAAAGUAUAUACAAAUUAA